rnacentral:rRNA from 1 species
UGGGGAAUAUUGGACAAUGGGCGAAAGCCUGAUCCAGCCAUGCCGCGUGUGUGAAGAAGGUCUUCGGAUUGUAAAGCACUUUAAGUUGGGAGGAAGGGCAGUAAGCGAAUACCUUGCUGUUUUGACGUUACCGACAGAAUAAGCACCGGCUAACUCUGUGCCAGCAGCCGCGGUAAUACAGAGGGUGCAAGCGUUAAUCGGAAUUACUGUGCGUAAAGCGCGCGUAGGUGGUUCGUUAAGUUGAAUGUGAAAGCCCCGGGCUCAACCUGGGAACUGCAUCCAAAACUGGCGAGCUAGAGUAGGGCAGAGGGUGGUGGAAGUUCCUGUGUAGCGGUGAAAUGCGUAGAUAUAGGAAGGAACACCAGUGGCGAAGGCGACCACCUGGGCUCAUACUGACACUGAGGUGCGAAAGCGUGGGGAGCAAACAGG